UCACUUCUGCAUUGUAUAUACUAAAAUUGGAACAAUACAGAGAAGAUAAGCAUGGCUCCUGUGCAAGGAUGACACACAAAUUCGAGAAGCAUUCCAUAUUUAA
ensembl:snRNA U6 U6 spliceosomal RNA